rnacentral:rRNA from 1 species
ACUGAACGCUGGCGGCAGGCCUAACACAUGCAAGUCGAGCGAGCGGCGGACGGGUGAGUACUGUUUGGGGUCUGCCCGAUUGUGGGGGAUAACCACUGGAAACGCUGGCCACUUCCGCCUACCGUCGGAUAACCCAUAUGGUAUUAGCUAGUAGUUAAGUUAAUGGCUGACCUAGGCGACGAUCCCUAGCUGGGCUGAGGGGCUGAUCAGCCACACUGGGACUGAGUGACGGCCCAGACUACGACGGAGGCGGCAGUGGGGAAUACUGCACAAUGGGCGCAAGCCUGAUGCAGCCAGGCCGCGUGUGUGAAGAAGGCCCUAGGGUGGUAAAGUGCUGUCAGUCGGGAGGCGGUACCGACAGAAGAAGCACCGGCUAACUCCGGGCCAGCAGCCGCGGUAAUUC